UGAGUUUGAUCCUGGCUCAGAUUGAACGCUGGCGGAAUGCUUUACACAUGCAAGUCGAACGGCAGCACGGGAGCUUGCUCCUGGUGGCGAGUGGCGAACGGGUGAGUAAUGCGUCGGAACGUGCCGAGUAAUGGGGGAUAACGCAGCGAAAGUUGUGCUAAUACCGCAUACGCCCUGAGGGGGAAAGCGGGGGAUCGCAAGACCUCGCGUUAUUCGAGCGGCCGACGUCUGAUUAGCUAGUUGGUGGGGUAAAGGCCUACCAAGGCGACGAUCAGUAGCGGGUCUGAGAGGAUGAUCCGCCACACUGGGACUGAGACACGGCCCAGACUCCUACGGGAGGCAGCAGUGGGGAAUUUUGGACAAUGGGGGCAACCCUGAUCCAGCCAUUCCGCGUGAGUGAAGAAGGCCUUCGGGUUGUAAAGCUCUUUCAGCUGGAACGAAACGGUACGGGCUAAUACCCUGUGCUAAUGACGGUACCAGCAGAAGAAGCACCGGCUAACUACGUGCCAGCAGCCGCGGUAAUACGUAGGGUGCGAGCGUUAAUCGGAAUUACUGGGCGUAAAGCGUGCGCAGGCGGAUUGUUAAGCAAGAUGUGAAAUCCCCGGGCUUAACCUGGGAAUGGCAUUUUGAACUGGCAGUCUAGAGUGCGUCAGAGGGGGGUGGAAUUCCACGUGUAGCAGUGAAAUGCGUAGAGAUGUGGAGGAACACCAAUGGCGAAGGCAGCCCCCUGGGAUGACACUGACGCUCAUGUACGAAAGCGUGGGUAGCAAACAGGAUUAGAUACCCUGGUAGUCCACGCCGUAAACGAUGCGAACUGGAUGUUGGUCUCAACUCGGAGAUCAGUGUCGAAGCUAACGCGUUAAGUUCGCCGCCUGGGGAGUACGGUCGCAAGACUGAAACUCAAAGGAAUUGACGGGGGCCCGCACAAGCGGUGGAGUAUGUGGUUUAAUUCGAUGCAACGCGAAGAACCUUACCUGGCCUUGACAUGUCCGGAAUCCUGCAGAGAUGCGGGAGUGCCUUCGGGAAUCGGAACACAGGUGCUGCAUGGCUGUCGUCAGCUCGUGUCGUGAGAUGUUGGGUUAAGUCCCGCAACGAGCGCAACCCUUGUCCUUAGUUGCCAGCACGUAAUGGUGGGAACUCUAAGGAGACUGCCGGUGACAAACCGGAGGAAGGUGGGGAUGACGUCAAGUCAUCAUGGCCCUUAUGGCCAGGGCUACACACGUGCUACAAUGGUCGGUACAGAGGGUAGCCAAACCGCGAGGUGGAGCCAAUCCCAUAAAGCCGAUCUUAGUCCGGAUUGCAGUCUGCAACUCGACUGCAUGAAGUCGGAAUCGCUAGUAAUCGCGGAUCAGCUAUGCCGCGGUGAAUACGUUCCCGGGCCUUGUACACACCGCCCGUCACACCAUGGGAGUUGGUUGCUCCAGAAGUAGGUAGUCUAACCGCAAGGGGGACGCUUACCACGGAGUGGUCAAUGACUGGGGUGAAGUCGUAANCAAGGUACC
rnacentral:rRNA from 1 species